rnacentral:miRNA from 17 species
CUCGCUGACCAAUGAGUGGAA